UCCGGGUUUCGCCCGGCAGUCUCCCUAGAACAUUCAACUAAGGACAAGGGUUGCGCUCGUUGCGGGACUUAACCCAACAUCUCACGACACGAGCUGACGACGGCCAUGCACCACCUGUGACGGUGUCCCGAAGGAAGACCGUGUUUCCACGGCUGUCACCGACAUGUCAAGCCCAGGUAAGGUUCUUCGCGUUGCGUCGAAUUGAACCACGUGCUCCACCGCUUGUGCGGGCCCCCGUCAAUUCCUUUGAGUUUUAAUCUUGCGACCGUACUCCCCAGGCGGGAUGCUUAAUGCGUUAGCUGCGCCACUGAAGGGUAAACCCACCAACGGCUAGCAUCCAUCGUUUACGGCGUGGACUAC
rnacentral:misc_RNA from 1 species